rnacentral:rRNA from 1 species
UGGAGAGUUUGAUCCUGGCUCAGAACGAACGCUGGCGGCAUGCCUAACACAUGCAAGUCGAACGAGGGCUUCGGCCCUAGUGGCGCACGGGUGAGUAACACGUGGGAACCUGCCUUAUGGUUCGGGAUAACGUCUGGAAACGGACGCUAACACCGGAUGUGCCCUUCGGGGGAAAGUUUACGCCAUGAGAGGGGCCCGCGUCCGAUUAGGUAGUUGGUGGGGUAAUGGCCCACCAAGCCGACGAUCGGUAGCUGGUCUGAGAGGAUGAUCAGCCACACUGGGACUGAGACACGGCCCAGACUCCUACGGGAGGCAGCAGUGGGGAAUAUUGGACAAUGGGGGCAACCCUGAUCCAGCAAUGCCGCGUGAGUGAUGAAGGCCUUAGGGUUGUAAAGCUCUUUCGCACGCGACGAUGAUGACGGUAGCGUGAGAAGAAGCCCCGGCUAACUUCGUGCCAGCAGCCGCGGUA